UACCAGAAGUAGGUAGCCUAACCGCAAGGAGGGCGCUUACCACGGUAGGGUUCAUGACUGGGGUGAAGUCGUAACAAGGUAGCCGUAUCGGAAGGUGCGGCUGGAUCACCUCCUUU
rnacentral:rRNA from 1 species